CGAGCGGCAGCGGGACCUUCGGGUUGCCGGCGAGCGGCGGACGGGUGAGUAAUGCCUAGGAAUCUGCCUGUUAGUGGGGGAUAACGCGGGGAAACUCGCGCUAAUACCGCAUACGUCCUACGGGAGAAAGUGGGGGACCUUCGGGCCUCACGCUAACAGAUGAGCCUAGGUCGGAUUAGCUGGUUGGUGGGGUAACGGCCCACCAAGGCGACGAUCCGUAACUGGUCUGAGAGGAUGAUCAGUCACACUGGAACUGAGACACGGUCCAGACUCCUACGGGAGGCAGCAGUGGGGAAUAUUGGACAAUGGGCGAAAGCCUGAUCCAGCCAUGCCGCGUGUGUGAAGAAGGUCUUCGGAUUGUAAAGCACUUUAAGUCGGGAGGAAGGGCUGUAGGCGAAUACCCUGCAGUUUUGACGUUACCGACAGAAUAAGCACCGGCUAACUUCGUGCCAGCAGCCGCGGUAAUAC
rnacentral:rRNA from 1 species